rnacentral:sRNA from 1 species
UUGUAUCUUCCAACAAGGAAACACUACUUAGGCUUUUAAGGAUAAAGUUGUGGUUUAAGUUCUUAUACUCAAUCAUACACAUGACAUCAAGUCAUAUUCGACUCCAAAACACUAACCAAGCUUUUUCUUGCUUCUCAAAGCUUUGAUGGUGUAGCCGAAGUCCGUAUGAGUCUUUCUCUUUGUAUCUACGAACAAUGAAACACUACUUAGUCCGUAUGGUGAAAUCUAAGUGUUGAGUUCGCUCUUCACAAGACUAUAUUUCAUCCCUCAAGGAUUUUUUCAAGUUCCACCUCUUGAAAAAAUAUAUUCAUUUUCGUGAAAUCUAAGUGUUGUGUU